GACGUAGGGCGCGAGCGUUGUCCGGAUUUAUUGGGCGUAAAGGGCGCGUAGGCGGCACCGCAAGUCGACUGUGAAAUCUCCGGGCUUAACCCGGAAAGGUCAGCCGAUACUGCGGGGCUAGAGUGCAGAAGGGGCAACUGGAAUUCUCGGUGUAGCGGUGAAAUGCGUAGAUAUCGAGAGGAACACCUGCGGCGAAGGCGGGUUGCUGGGCUGACACUGACGCUGAUGCGCGAAAGCUAGGGGAGCGAACGGG
rnacentral:rRNA from 1 species